rnacentral:rRNA from 1 species
UACAGAGGUCUCAAGCGUUUGUUCGGAUUCAUUGGGCGUAAAGGGUGCGUAGGCGGCGCGGUAAGUCGGGUGUGAAAUCUCGGAGCUUAACUCCGAAACUGCAUCGAUACUGCCGUGCUUGAGGACUGGAGAGGAGACUGGAAUUUACGGUGUAGCGGUGAAAUGCGUAGAUAUCGUGAAGGAAGACCAGUGGCGAAGGCGGGUCUCUGGACAGUUCCUGACGCUGAGGCACGAAGGUCAGGGGAGCAAACGGG